AACCUGGACGGGGUCAACGGUUGACCAAGAAGAGCCAUGGCCUAGGUUAGCGGCUUCCACUGCACUUCGGAGGAGCGCUAGCCUACCAUCUUCUCAAGUAGGAGAGUGGACGUCAUAAUUAGGGUACGCGUUCGCGCGGUUCCUAC
rnacentral:snRNA from 2 species